UCUAGUGGACAAACCAGGCUGUACAGUCUCACAUGAGUGACGCAACGUCUGUUCUUAGAUGUUCUUGUGUUGUUUGAACAUGUCGUCACGUGGAAAUGUGAACUCGAGGAACAAAACAAAGUGUGCAAACAGAGUCUGAUGCCCUUAUUGAACCCAUUCAGAGAUAAGGUUCAGAUGCUUUCUGGAAAAUCCUCAAAUCAUGAUUAUAUGAAUCAUUAGAAUGACCUGAGGUUUAACAUGCAGCUGUGUGCAAACAGAGUUCAUGGCAUAAAUUUAGCGUUGGCCUGGCUGGUAAGUGUCAAUUACAUCCACUGACCUGAUUCUCUCUCACUCUGGAACCGGGCAAUCGAGCCAAUCUUACUGUCAAGCCCAACUUAAAUUAUAUCCCUGUUUCCACCCAAAAUCACGGUGGAUGAACAAGUGAACUUCCAUCACCGACUCAGUAAGAGAUAACGUUACCGUGCCAACCGCAUCCACUGAUUCUCCCGAGACAUCACAUCAGCAACUGCUGCUCUAUUCCCAAACAAACGCACAUUUAUAACAUAGAGAAUAGGAAUGUUCAUAUUGACCGAUUAACCGUAGGUCAGAAUUUAUAAUGAUUAAUAUAAAAAUAUGUGCCUACAGACAUUUCGCCACUUUUCUAUCCUUCAUUUUGGAUUGACCUGUAAAUGAUGUUAAUUAUGCUGCCCUGACGGUCUGGUAAAGUAAUCAUUUGAAUUAGAAAUCAUUUAUACUGCAUGUGUGUCCUUGCUUGAG